CUUGCUGCUUCGCUGACGAGUGGCGGACGGGUGAGUAAUGUCUGGGAAACUGCCUGAUGGAGGGGGAUAACUACUGGAAACGGUAGCUAAUACCGCAUAACGUCGCAAGACCAAAGAGGGGGACCUUCGGGCCUCUUGCCAUCGGAUGUGCCCAGAUGGGAUUAGCUAGUAGGUGGGGUAACGGCUCACCUAGGCGACGAUCCCUAGCUGGUCUGAGAGGAUGACCAGCCACACUGGAACUGAGACACGGUCCAGACUCCUACGGGAGGCAGCAGUGGGGAAUAUUGCACAAUGGGCGCAAGCCUGAUGCAGCCAUGCCGCGUGUAUGAAGAAGGCCUUCGGGUUGUAAAGUACUUUCAGCGGGGAGGAAGGGAGUAAAGUUAAUACCUUUGCUCAUUGACGUUACCCGCAGAAGAAGCACCGGCUAACUCCGUGCCAGCAGCCGCGGUAAUACGGAGGGUGCAAGCGUUAAUCGGAAUUACUGGGCGUAAAGCGCACGCAGGCGGUUUGUUAAGUCAGAUGUGAAAUCCCCGGGCUCAACCUGGGAACUGCAUCUGAUACUGGCAAGCUUGAGUCUCGUAGAGGGGGGUAGAAUUCCAUUGUUAAGCGGUGGGAA
rnacentral:rRNA from 1 species